rnacentral:tRNA from 1 species
GGGCGCGUAGCUCAGCGGUAGAGCAGCGGACUUCUAAGGUGUUGGUCCUGGGUUCGAAUCCCAGCGUGCCCAGCA